GGAGGGGUGGCAGAGCGGUUGAAUGCGGCGGUCUCGAAAACCGUUUCAGGGGGUUUUCCUCUGACGAGGGUUCGAAUCCCUCCCCCUCCG
rnacentral:tRNA from 1 species